UGAGGUCAUAAAGAUGUAGUGAAGAUUAAGUAGACUAACACAGGUAACUUGUCACUGUAGAGGACAGAAGCACCAGCUUUAGAAUCAGGGUUCAGACCUAGUUCAACGAUCUAGUAGCUGUGUGACAUUAGGCUGGAUACUUUACCUUUGAAAAUGAGAACCUACUGUAUAGCACAGGGAACUCUACGUGGUGCUCUGCGGUGACCUAACUGGAAAGGAAAUCCAAAGAAGAGGGGAUAUAUGUAUACAUAUGGCUAUUUACUUUGCUGUACAGCAGAAACUGACACAGCAGUAUAAAGCAACUAUUCUCCAAUAAAAAAAUAAAUAAAAAUAUACAGUUAAGACAAAAAAAGUCAAGGAAAA